rnacentral:rRNA from 1 species
GAGUUUGAUCAUGGCUCAGAUUGAACGCUGGCGGCAGGCCUAACACAUGCAAGUCGAGCGGUAACAGGACUAGCUUGCUAGUUGCUGACGAGCGGCGGACGGGUGCGUAACACGUAGGAAUCUGCCCGGGUAGUGGGGGAUAGCCCGGAGAAAUCCGGAUUAAUACCGCAUACGCCCUAAGGGGGAAAGAUGGCCUCUUCUUGAAAGCUAUCACUAUCGGAUGAGCCUGCGUCGGAUUAGCUAGUUGGUGAGGUAAAGGCUUACCAAGGCGACGAUCCGUAGCUGGUCUGAGAGGAUGAUCAGCCACACUGGGACUGAGACACGGCCCAGACUCCUACGGGAGGCAGCAGUGGGGAAUAUUGCACAAUGGGCGCAAGCCUGAUGCAGCCAUGCCGCGUGUGUGAAGAAGGCUCUAGGGUUGUAAAGCACUUUCAGCGAGGAGGAAAGGUUAAAGAUUAAUACUCUUUAGCUGUGACGUUACUCGCAGAAGAAGCACCGG